UACGUAGGGGGCAAGCGUUGUCCGGAUUUAUUGGGCGUAAAGAGCGUGUAGGCGGCUAGAUAGGUCCGUUGUGAAAACUCGAGGCUCAACCUCGAGACGUCGAUGGAAACCAUCUGGCUAGAGUCCGGAAGAGGAGAGUGGAAUUCCUGGUGUAGCGGUGAAAUGCGUAGAUAUCGAGAGGAACACCUGCGGCGAAGGCGGGUAGCUGGGCCGACACUGACGCUGAGGCGCGAAAGCCAGGGGAGCGAACGGG
rnacentral:rRNA from 1 species